UGCUCCGCGCAGUUUCCGGUUGGCGGCGGCGCUGUUUCCGUUGCUGUGGUGCGUGCGGUCCUCCCGAAGACAUGUUGUCCCGUUCCCGCUGUGUCACCUGGAGCCUCGGCCGCUCGAUCAGCGCCCUGCGUCAGGGUAACAGUGUUCUCGCGAGACACGCUGCUUCAGGUAUAUCAGCGAGUCAGUGUGUCACCUUCAAGAACAGCCCGAGGAGAGAGACCCAGUCGAGUGUCUAUCAGAUCAGAUACUUCAACACCUCAGCUGCUCACAGGAAUGAGGUUGUCACAGUGAAUACACCAGCGUUUGCGGAGUCUGUCACAGAGGGAGACGUCAGGUGGGAGAGAGCUGUUGGAGACAGUGUCUCUGAAGACGAGGUCGUCUGUGAGAUUGAGACCGAUAAGACGUCGGUGGAGGUUCCCUCUCCAGCUGCAGGAGUCAUCGAGGAGCUGCUGGUUCCUGACGGAGGGAAAGUGGAAGGAGGAACUCCUCUGUUCAGACUCAAGAAAGGAGUUGGAGCUGCUAAGACGACAGCAGCAGCUCCUCCUCCUGCAGCAGAGACUCCUCCUCCUUCUCCUCCGCCUGCUCCACCUGCUGCUGCUGCUUCUGCCGGAGGACCCAUCCCCACCAGCAUGCCCCCUGUACCCCCUGUGCCGGCCCAGCCCAUCCUCUCCAAACCAGUUUCUGCCAUAAAACCCACUGCAGCUCCUGCUGAUGCUGCUGACACCGGAGCCAAAGCCGCCCGAUCAGAGCACAGGGUGAAGAUGAACCGCAUGAGACAGCGAAUCGCUCAGCGGCUGAAGGAAGCGCAGGACACCUGUGCCAUGCUGACAACCUUCAAUGAAGUUGAUAUGAGCAACAUCACAGACAUGAGGAAACAGUAUAAAGAUGCUUUCCUGAAGAAACAUGGCAUCAAACUGGGCUUCAUGUCUGCGUUUGUGAAAGCGGCUGCCUACGCUUUGACAGAGCAGCCUGCCGUUAACGCUGUCAUUGAUGACACAACCAAAGAGAUUGUGUAUCGGGAUUAUGUGGAUAUCAGUGUGGCAGUCGCAACACCAAAGGGGCUCGUGGUUCCCGUGAUCAGAGGAGUGGAGGGAAUGAACUUCGCAGACAUCGAGAGAACGAUUAACGAGCUGGGAGAGAAGGCUCGUAAGAACGAGCUGGCUGUGGAGGACAUGGACGGAGGCACCUUCACCAUCAGCAACGGAGGAGUGUUCGGAUCCAUGUUCGGGACUCCCAUCAUCAACCCGCCGCAGUCGGCCAUCCUGGGCAUGCAUGGUAUCUUUGACCGGCCCGUGGCCAUCGCUGGGAAGGUGGAGAUCCGGCCGAUGAUGUACGUGGCUCUGACGUACGACCACCGCUUGAUCGACGGCAGAGAGGCCGUCACCUUCCUCAGGAAGAUCAAGUCAGUGGUGGAGGACCCUCGGGUGCUGCUGCUGGACAUCUGAGCAGAAACACUAUGUUCCAGUGAGUCGCUGGUGCUUGUGUGUGUUCACGAGACCUCGACACGUCCCGCACAACUCCAGACCAUCAGAUCCUGUCUGCCUAAGUAAUAAAAUAAAAUAAGAGCUAUAAAUACUAUUCUAACUUUAUCCUAUGUGGGCUACUAUGUAACUGCUGUGUAUACUAACUACUAUAACUGUAUGUUACCUGCAUACAAACUCUUACAUAACAGCUAGCCUAACUGUUGCAGAGGUCACAAAUAACUAAAGAAUGUCUCUUGCAAACUGGAUUUUUGCAUUUCUUGCAAGAGAGUGUGGUUUUAACAUCCCUUGGGAAGCAUCUUGGGCAUCGUUUUCUCUUGGCUGAGGAACUAGUCAGGGAAGGACCAGCCAAGAAGGAAUGAGCCGAGAAGGGGUCAGCCGGGGAUGGAAUGGCUCCGGAGGGACCGGCAGUGGAGGGGUCAGCUCUGAAGGGAACGGUAGUGGACGGGCCAACCGUGGAGGGACCAGCUUCUCUAUCAUCUGUUCCCUGAAGUUUUCGCAUGAGAUGCAGGGAGGCUGGUGCGCGUGGAAUGCCCUGUCUGGAUUUUAUGAAGGGGGUCACAAGUGAUCUCCCAAGCUCCUCGAGGAAAGUCCUCCUCUUGAAGAAGCACCCCUGUUUCCAAGUGGGAUUAAUUUCCCUCCACAGCACGAAUGCAUUAUAGGCAGAUACAUCGACCAUGCUGAAGAACAGCGCCAUUGGCCAGCGAGCCGUCCUCCUCCCACAUGUAUAGUUUGCAACAAUCUAGAAUAUUACACAAACAUACACACACAAACACAUUUAGUAUAUAUGCGGUCAUCAAAUGGUGGUUCAUUUCACUUUAUAUGCUAUUUAGCAUGGCAAAUAAGUUACCAGUAGCAAUCACAAUAAUAAUAAUAAUAACAAUAUCAAUGACAAUAAUAAGAAGACAAUAUAAAGUAGCAAAUACCUGGUCAAGAGUGUCCAGGCCACCUUUGGUGUUGUUGUAAUCAAGAAUCAUUUUAGGCUUCCUGUCCUCUCUUUCGCUGAUUGUUGCCGUUUUGUGCAUGGUGCUCAUGAGAAGUACAUUUUUAUUUUUUUUGGGACAGUAUGACACGAUGGCGUGUGUAUCUGUGAAUGCAAAUAGUGACGAGAAGCGAGCCCUGCCUCUUUGGUUUGUCAAUGCACUUGGAAGCUCCGGUUUGUUUCUUCGCACCGUUCCGAGCAUUCUUAUUUCUUUUUGUAGGAGCUCUGUCCCAAGAGCAUAAGAUGUAAAAAAAUUGUCACAUGUGACAAUAUGUCCCUGAAGGCCAUGCGUCAUUUCAUUCAAGACUCAUUUGCCCAAGUUUUUCUCAUGCUGUACUCCUGCAGGUUUGCCUGUGUAUACCUGCAUAUUCCAGGAGUAACUACUUUCUGCAUCACAGGCUGUCCAGAUUUUGAUGCCAUAUUUUGCAGGCUUGCUUGGCAUGUAUUGUUUAAAAGGACACCACCCCCUGAAUCCAACCAGACACUCAUCCACAGUCACAUUGAGACCAGGAUUGUACAUCAGUGGCAGUCUCUCCACCCAUUUGUCCCACAUUUCUCUGAUUGGUGACAAAGUUUGUCAGUUUGCCUUCUUGCAUCUCUUGUUCUCUUGUGAUCGAAUCUGAUAACCCUUGACAGUCUUUGGAACAUUUUGAGAGGCAUGGUGGCCCGAAAAAUUGCCCUCCCCAUCUCAGCAUCCCAUAAGCUGCUUGUUGCCUCAUUAUUUGAUUUGAAAACGCCAGCCAGUAUCAGAAGGCCAAUAUAUGCUUGCAUUUCUUCCCAUUCAAUGUUAUUCCAUUCCUUUGCAAAGACUCGUCGCCCCUCUAAGUUAGUCAUUUCCAGCAGAAUGUUCUGAAUUGAUGUUGUUAAAUAUAAUUCAAAAGUUGACAGUAUGUCCUUCACUCGCACACACGCAUACCUUGUUGGUCCAGGGGUAUGUCUGGGGACCUUCUGUGUCCGUGCUCUUUCUUGUGUCUGUACAGGAGGAGAUGAAGACCACAGUAUUUCCCCAUUUCUUGAGGUGUAAGUUACCAGGCCUUCUUCAUCUGAUUCUUCCUCCUCUGACUCAAAAUCCGGGGCAGCUUCUGUAAAAUCCUCUUCUUCAGAGGUAUCAUCUGCUGGAUUUUUUGGGACAGCAUUCUCUUCCUCUUCACUAGACUGAAGCAGGUAUUCGAGGGUCUCCUGAGCAGUGAACCGUCUUUGUGCCAUUGUGCAAAAUGACAGGGCAGGCCUCAAUGUAGCAAAACUUAUUCCACCUCACACCCAAUCAAGUUUUUGUUUUUAUUUACAGAUGCUGGUAUUGGACUCGAGGUUACUAGGGCAGAAUCUCAGCCUUUGAUCUCACUCUCACUGUCAGCCUUUGAUCUUACUCUGUGUGUGUGCAGACAAUGUCAAACUUUUGCACUCUGGAUAUGUAAUUUUUGAUCCAUUCAUUUUAUUUCACAUUCUCAAAAUGUUAAAGUCCAUUUGUGUGUGUGUGUGUGUGUGUGAGAGAGAGAGAGAGAGAGAGAGAGAGAAAAAACAUUCCAUCAACUGUCAAGAUUUGUGAGAUUUUAUGACAAGGGAACAAGAGCUGCAGAAAAGCAAAAUGACAAACAGGCACCUGUCCCAGAGAUUUGGGGAAAACAAGUAGAGAGACUACCAUUUAUGUACAGUCCUUGGUCAUAAGAAAAACCUGGACAAGCAAAUAGUGAAUGGAAUGAUGCAUGGCCUUCAGGAACAUAUUGUUCAGUGGCACAGAGCUCCUGCAAAAAAAAUAAAAAUCCUCAGAAUGGUGCAAAGGACCAAGUCUGAGUUUCUAAGUGCACUGACAAACCCAAGAGGCAGUGCUUGCUUCUCAUCGCUGUUUUACAGACAGCAGGUCAUAGGUGUGUGUGUGUGUGUGUGUGUGUAUGUGAUUAUUCAGAGUGUCAUACCUUCACUGCUGUUAGAUUUUCUCUGCAUUAUGACUGAAUUAUUGAAUGGAUUUCACAUUCUCAAAACUUUGCUCUGUGUUACAGACACAGUAGUUCAUAGGUGUCUAUGUGUGUGUGUGUGUGUGUGUGUGUGUGUGUGCAUCUGUGUGUGAUUGGAUGUGUCAAUAUCACACUCUUGAUGUUUUAUAGUGUCAUCCCUUCACUGCUGUGCACUUUUUUCAGUUUUGUGAUCGAUUUGUAGAUUGUGUACACAAAUAUUCUCUGAAUUGUUGUAUUUUUGUCUAUUUCCCAUUCAUUUCCUAUGGACGGUCAUUUUUGACCGAAGACCCUGAGUGUUACUAUUUUUUUUACGCCCACUUAGACUGUUCGAAUCAUGCUCUCAAUUUUUUUGUGUGUUCACACCCCAAAUGCUAUGAAGGUCACCGCAUUUCAUAUCAUUCCGAUGAAGCUGUGAUUUUUAACAUUUCAAAACGUAAAAUAUUCCGGUCAGAAAUGACCGAAGACCGCACAAGGGUUAAG